UACGGAGGAUGCAAGCGUUAUCCGGAAUGAUUGGGCGUAAAGGGUCCGCAGGUGGCAAUGUAAGUCUGCUGUCAAAGAAUGAGGCUUAACCUCAUCAAGGCAGUGGAAACUACAUAGCUAGAGUACGGUCGGGGUAGAAGGAAUUCCUGGUGUAGCGGUGAAAUGCGCAGAUAUCAGGAAGAACACCCGUGGCGAAGGCGGCUCUCUGGGACGGUACUGACGCUGAGACGCGAAAGCGUGGGGAGCGAACAGG
rnacentral:rRNA from 1 species